rnacentral:tRNA from 1 species
AAGGGUAUAGCUCAGUGGUAAAGUGCAUGUUUAGCAUGCAUGAGGUCCUGGGUUCAAUCCCCAGUAUCUCCA